CCCGGGCCCCGCCCCAACUCCCAAGCCCCGCCCCCCUGGGCGGUCCGUAGCCCGAUGGGCUGGCGUGGCGAGCAGGAGCCGCGCCGGCCCGCGAGGGAACUUCCAGCCAAUGGGAGAGCGGCACGGCAGCGCCCGCCGGACGCUGGACACAGACGUGACCCCAGACCGCCUGGCCUUGGGUGGAUCGGGUCUCUGGGCAGAGCGUGUGUCCGGCAGAGCUAGGACCGGAAAAAGCCACUCUAGGUCUAGGUUAGGAGUGAUGACAGUUAAAAGAUAUAUAAGGAAAAGAAGGAAAGGAUCGUUUCUGUAUAAAACGAGCUAUUUUUGCAUAUCGAGCGCAUAAGUUUUAUAACUUAGGUGUCUGUUUAUGGAGAGGGUGGGAUACUACCUUUUAGCUCAAGGAGUGCACAAAACGGUAUCAUGAAUUCUGCUCUUUUGAUUCAAACACCCAACUUUGAAGAAUCGCUCAUGGUGCUUGUAAAACACGUAUCCCCAGAUCCCUCCCUAGACCUAUCGAACAACUCCAACGGUCUCGGGAAUGUGCGUGGUUUCUGAAAAGCUUGGGAAGCAAGACCUGACUAGACCCCCAAAUCUGAUAUUGGCUGAAUGGCCGACCAAUGGAGUGCAUAAGAAGGAGAAUGGUGAGAAGUGGAUGAAACUUGAUGCUUGACUACAUGGCUCCAGUAAUGCAGUGAAAAGACAAAAACACAUCAACGUGACGUUCCAGGGAAAUAAACGCGAAAUCAUGCAUCCAACUGGCCACUAAGGGUUGGCUGUACAGAAUUGUAGUAUGCGUAUGGAGAAAAUGCUAACUGAACCUUUCUAAACAAAUAAAAAUAUACACAAUUAUUUUUCCAAUAGCUCAAGUAUUGACUUAUUUUAUGGGCAGAUGAUACCAAACUAGCAAAAAGCUUUAUGCUAAAAAUGUGCCUUUGUGGGAAAACCAGCAUGUUCGGUACUUAAAAUAUUUCCAUUCUGAACUGAAGUCAGUGAAUAGGCAUGUCUUGCAACUUCAUUUGCUUAGCAGGGUCUUGGUUUGAUUUGUAAAAACUGGGACAUAAAAUGUUUUACUAGCACUUGCCACUUAAAGUCCUAAAUUUGGUGUAUUGUGACCGUUGACAAGUAGUAGCAUUUCCCC
rnacentral:lncRNA from 1 species